CGGAAUCGCGGCGCGUCCAGUGCCUGCUGGAGCUGCAGGUGCGGCACAUCCGCGCCAGGUUCGCCGUCUAUCUCACAGAAAAUCCCGGCGGCAGCAGCAGGGAAAUCCUGGAAAGCAAAGGAAUUCUGGUGGCUGACGUCAACACCUUCCUGGGGACGGUGCAGGAAGUGGCUGCUCCCUUCAGAAGGAGCUACUGGUGACGGAGCAGAACCACGGACACGGCUCCUCCCCAGGCCCUGGGGCACCGGUUUGGUGCCCAGUCCUGUGGGGACAUCCACAGCCAUCCCAGUGGAUCCCAGGCACCCAUCCCAGUGGAUCCCAGACACCCAUCCAGGGGAUUCUCACACCCAUCCCAGUGGAACCCAACCACCAGUGGAUCCCCACACCCAUCCCGGUGGAUCCUCAUCCCGGUGGAUCCCAGCCGCUGCUGGGGGAUCUGUUUUGGCUCUGUACAUAAAUGUUAUUUAAAGGCGGGGAGCACAAACCCUCUGGGAUCUGUUCCCCGCCAUCCGCUCUCCACGGAAAAGGUUCUGACGGUACCCGGAAAUCACCGCAGACCUUUCAGGCCU
rnacentral:lncRNA from 1 species